CCUACGGGAGACAGCAGUGAGGAAUAUUGGUCAAUGGACGAAAGUCUGAACCAGCCAAGUCGCGUGAAGGAAGACUGCCCUAUGGUUUGUAAACUUCUUUUAUAUGGGAAUAAAAUGUUCCACGUGUGGGGAUUUGUAUGUACCCUAUGAAUAAGGAUCGGCUAACUCCGUGCCAGCAGCCGCGGUAAUACGGAGGAUCCGAGCGUUAUCCGGAUUUAUUGGGUUUAAAGGGAGCGUAGGUGGUUUGUUAAGUCAGUUGUGAAAGUUUGCGGCUCAACCGUAAAAUUGCAGUUGAAACUGGCAGACGUGAGUGCAGUAGAGGUGGGCGGAAUUCGUGGUGUAGCGGUGAAAUGCGUAGAUAUCACGAAGAACUCCGAUUGCGAAGGCAGCUCACUGGACUGCAACUGACACUGAGGCUCGAAAGCGUGGGUAUCAAACAGGAUUAGAUACCCGAGUAGUC
rnacentral:rRNA from 1 species